GGCACAGUAGUGAUCAUGUCACACAUUGGUAAAGUGUGUGUCCUGUUCCUUUCUAGUGCCUGGUUCACAUCGAGGAUAACAGCCUCCUACUGCUGCCUGCUGACAAGGCUACUGGAUGCCCAAAUAAGCUAAGCAGUGAAAAGUUCCCACGUCCACCUGCAACUGGCUGGAGGAUGGAGCCCAGCCGCACCUGACACAGACCAGGCCGUGCUGAGACAAGCGUUCGUGACCUCUACGCUCGAUUGCCGCAGCUUGUUCUAUCUAGUGGCCUGAACAACCCCAGCUGGGUCAGAACGCAGGAGCUCACCUGCUCAGCAGCAUGGCGCUUCUGCAUUGGCUUCCCAUGUAAGACAGAGACCAGGCCUGGGCUCUGCCCUGACAUACAAAACCUUCCCGGCCUGGGCUACGUGAGAGACACCACCCCCUCCUCAAUCAGGACCGCCCACCACAGCUGCAAUCCACCAGAACGAUAGACUCGUCCACCAGUGGCGGGACACAUGAGUGGGCCAAGCCUGUGGAACUCAUUGCCACAAGAGAGGAAAACAGGCCUGGGCCUCAGAACCGAAUGCAAAGCCCAUCUCUUCAACUCAGCUGUCCCUCAGUGUCUUCACACACAGCUCCCAGGACACAUUCACUCAGUCAUCAGGCGAACAACCCACCGCUAAGCCAGCACAGGCACUGCCGGGGACUUCCCAGGAGCAAUGUCCAUUUCCCGCAGCGGAGAAUCCAGCCCCGUAUCUCCAGGAUGUCACACAGUUCUCCGAGCGUCUCAUUCCCAGAGCGCCAGGCGAACGGUGGCGGAGCUUGGAGAAGGGCGAGGCACAUUAUGAAGUGGCCUGGAAGAACUGAUUUGUGGGGCUAGAUUAAAAGCACUCCGCUCUCGCCGGGCAAAACGAUUCCUGAUGAUAAGCGCCUGCGAGCGUUUGAAGAGGGCGAACACCAAGGGGUAAC